GACUACGUAGCUCAGCAGGUAGAGCACAUCCCUUUUAAGGAUGGGGUCCUGGGUUCGAGCCCCAGCGUGGUCACCA
rnacentral:tRNA from 1 species